CGUCAUUUUUGAUUAUUUGGUUUCAUCCCUCUCUCUUCUCUGCCGUAGCGAUUCUAGGGUUGCGUUCGAGUUUCCAUCUUCUUCCUACAGAUCUAGAAAUCGUCGGUUACCGAUUCAUUCCUAUUAAAUUCCUUCAUAAAUCCUUUGUACAUGAUCUCUCUUCAAUGCCAUAUUUGCUCUUCGAAAGCGGUGGAGAUUCGACUAUAAAAAGUUGUGGUUAGUUCGUUGGGUUUCUGGGAGGUGAGGAAUAUUAGGCGCGGUGAUGAACUCGUGUAUGUCCAUAUGCUUUUGCUUGAUUCAAAUGUGAGUUCCGUUUUUGAAGCAAAUGUGUCUAAGGCAAGGAGGAUGAAUUAGAGGGAGAAGAAACUGCGAUAGAGUCGGAUGGAAUUAAGACCAAAGUUUUUUUUCGUUCUCAGAAUUAGACAAAGUUGUUAUUAUUAUGUUGUUGUAUCUAUCUUUGACGGUCUUUGUGGACUAAGUUAAGAAUAAAGCUUCUGCUGGUGUGUCAAUGGUGAA